rnacentral:rRNA from 1 species
CCUAUACAUGACUCUGCGCAUAUCAAUAAGCGGAGGAAAAGAAACUAACAAGGAUUCCCUUAGUAACGGCGAGUGAAGCGGGAAGAGCUCAAAUUUGAAAUCUUCAAGGUUUUACCUUGACGAAUUGUAGUUUAAAGAAGUGUUUUCUGCUGAAGUUUUGGUAAAAGUUCUUUGGAAUAGGACAUCAUAGAGGGUGAGAAUCCCGUAUUUGACCAUUAUUUUCAGCUUUGUGAUACACUUUCAAAGAGUCGGAUUGUUUGGGAAUGCAGUCCAAAAUGGGUGGUAAAUUUCAUCUAAAGCUAAAUAUUGGCGAGAGACCGAUAGCGAACAAGUACCGUGAGGGAAAGAUGAAAAGAACUUUGAAAAGAGAGUUAAACAGUACGUGAAAUUGUCAAAAGGGAAGCGUUUGACACCAGUGUUGUUUUCUCGAAAAUCAAUUAAAAAUGGCUCGAUUUUGUAUUGCUUGAGACCUUAAAAGCUCACUGUACAUUUUUCGUGUCUUUUUUAAUGCACUUUUCGUUUAACAAGUCAACAUCAGUUUCUUUUGUUGUAAAAGGGUCAUUGGAAGGUGGCUUUCUUUUCGGAGAAAGUGUUUAUAGCCUUUGGCCUCUGCAAUCGGAGAGACUGAGGUCUGCAGCGUAGACUCUUCGGGGUUAGAUACGUUUGUGCUAAGUUAUAGCUUUUUAUAGACAACUUGUUGACUAUAAUUAGUCUUGUAGCUUACUCGCUUAUGCUAUUUUACCUACGCUUAGGAUGUUGAAGAUGUAGCACAUCAU